UUUCCUUUGAACUGAGGGUGAGUGUUAGAGACGGAAACAGAAAAAUACCCAAAACGAACGAGUUUUGGCAUUAUAUUUUCAAAUUUCGGAGUGUUGAGAUGAGGAACAACUCAACAGCAAUGGCUGCUACUGGUGCCAGUUGCUGCUUAUUCGCCCUCUGGAGAGGUCAAUCAGGCCUUGAUGCCAACCCUCUUACUUUUCUACAAAGAAGGCAAAGAUACCGAUUGAGAAGUGCUUACAUGUUGGUGCUACAUUGCAAGCAAAUAGGGGUACUGCAAUCAACAUGGAUAUUAGAGGGGCAUACAAAUACAUUGUGUUGAAUUCACUGCUUUUCUUUCAAAUUUAACCACUUGCUAGACUCCUACACCGUUCUGCACAUUUCGCUGAUGGAAUAGA